CUUCAUUUCUAUACAGUGGAUACUGACGUCAGCUCUGCUUUUUGGUGUGGCAAGCGGCUGCGUUAUUUGGAGCUGUGUGUCCGACGGCAGUGAGGCUUUCCUUCACCGUGUGCUGUGUUAUGCUGUGUGAGCACCACUGAUAAAAUCACGGGAACAAGACAGCAGCGUAGACUCUCUUUGAAGGGUCUCUUUGGCCAUCUCUCCUGAUUGUGUUUCAGGUCCAAAUUUACUUCCUGCCCCGCCUUGCCUGGUGGUAAGUGUUUUACUAAAAUUUAGCUAUGGCAGAAGAAUUACAAGAACUUCGGGAUCUUGUGGCCCAAUUAAGAGCUGAUAAUGAGAGACUUAGACAAGAACAG